ACAGAGGCGGCAAGCGUUGUUCGGAAUUAUUGGGCGUAAAGAGCAUGUAGGCGGCUAUGUAAGUCGGUUGUGAAAGCCUUCCGCUUAACGGAAGAAUGGCGGUCGAAACUGCAUGGCUUGAGUGCGGGAGGGGAGAGUGGAACUUCUGGUGGAGCGGUGAAGUGCGUAGAUAUCAGAAGGAACGUCGGCGGCGAAAGCGACACCCUGGGCCGUACCUGACGCUAAGACGCGACAGCACGGGGAGCGAACGG
rnacentral:rRNA from 1 species